CAUACCCUGAAGAAGAUUGAUUAAAAAUAUUAAUUACAAAUAUUAUUUACGUGUAAAGUACCGAUCGUAAAUGUCAUUCACAUUAUUAUGUGGAUAUAUGCACGUUGUUUCAUACGUAAGAUAUUGUCGUGUCAAAGUAGUCACGUACGCACGUGAGAUGACGAAGAGUAUAGGAUCAAUCAUUAUAUCGUCCUUCGAAUUUAAAUGAAGCCGAAAGAAGAGGGGUCAAGGAAGGAAACCCUUGAGAUUAUUUAUUACUAUUCAAGUCAUUGCUAUUCAAUUUGGUUCUCUUUUCUCUUUCGGAUACAGUCUCAGAUAUAGUUAUAAAGAAACGAAAAGAAAGACGAAGCUUUUGAUAGUGGGUACGAAAAACGUAGUUUAUGAAGCGUGAAGAAAGACAAAAUAAUUUGUAAGAACCGUUAAACGUCGUAAUCUGUUUUUACUGAUAAUCGCGGUCACGUAGAAACAAUUUAUAAUUGUGCACGAAACGACUAUAAAAGUUAACUCAUAGUAUUGUUGUUCAUUGCAAAUAGUCAUCGCCGACGUCGGCGUGUCCAUCGAUUUGACCAAUCAGGUUCUACAUCACCGAGGUUCAACAUUCGUUCGACCAAUCGAAUUGUAAUCAGGCCAUCGCGCCCCUGACCACGCACCAAUGACGCACUUAAGUUGAAACUGGAAAGAACCAGAAGAAAUGGACCGAACUGGACACUACUGGACUUGAACUUUGCUUCAUUUUGCGAUAAACUCACACCAUCGGUAUAUGACGUAAACAGAUUUAUGUAAAAUUGUAUAAUGGAAGAGAAUGGAAAAAAGAUCUUAGGAAGUACGGGUCAAGCAAA